AUGUGCAGGCGGCGGUGGUCCCUAUGCGCGGACGGCGGCUCCGUCUCUGACCCGGACGGCGCGGGGAUGGCGGCGGCCUGGCGUGGCCGGCGAUCUGGAUGCGUUGGUGCCGGCGGCUCACUGAUCUACCGGUGCUCCAGGGUUCUGCCUGGUGGUGCUAGUGGUGACGGCGGCCCGUGCACGAGAGUUGGAUCCCUUCGAACUGAUCUGGAUGAAAACUUGCCUUCGGCGUCUGCUAAGGCCGGCGGUGGAGGCGCUAUCUGCGUCGUUCCCUUCUUGAAGGCAUCACCGUGGAGAAGUUUGUGA
rnacentral:rRNA from 1 species